rnacentral:lncRNA from 1 species
UUUUGCAGAGUUUUUAAACUAACAAGAGAUACUGAGGACACAUUAGAACUAGCAUCCCCUUAAAAUGUUAAUCAUCCAUAGUUUUUCAAAAAUAUUCCUCUGUUGAAAAUUAACAAAGUAAACACCCACUUUGAUAGCUCUUGCAAUGAUUAUAUUGAAGGCCACCUGUUCUGAAAGACGGGGCAAAGUUAUAACUAUGUCCGACUUGCUUUGAAUUUUUCUCUCUUCGUCAUUCUCUUUUAGUUGCCAUUUCAUGUCAUCUUUUCAACUAGUUAAACCAUUUAGGUUCUCUGUUGAAUUUUUAAAGGAAUGACUUGAAGUAUGAUAUUUUAUUUGAUUGUAUAGUUAUUAGCAGUGGGAAAUUAGAUGGAUUGGGUGUAAAUAGAUUUUUGAUGAAAAUUUAUUCAUCCAAUAACCAAUGGACCUUAAUAGAUGGGAUUUAAAUGGAUUAGACCAAUACGACAAUUCAAUAAGAUGCAAUUUUACAGAAUUGAAUUCAAAUUUUUAUCUACUACUGGACACAGCACGCCAACCUUCACAUCCUCAGCAAAUGGCUUGUUUAAAAAGUCAACUACUAUACCUCUUAUUAGAUUCAUUGAUUUUGACUAUAUAUUGUUAUAUUAUUUGCCUGUACUGAUUCUAUUAAUUUCUUUGUAUUAGUUCAAAAACAUAUGUAGGCAUAACUGAUACAAAACCAAGGCUGGGGAUGGGGGUGAGCAAGGGUGAAUUUCUGAAAUUAAACUAUAAACGUAUCGUGAGCUAGAGUCAUACCACUAGACCAAAUUCCACCAGUUAUCGCUUCUUUCCUUUUCUUUAUAUAAACUGUUCUAGCCAGCCUUUGAUGGUUUUGCUUCAAGAACCUUAUUCUCAAAACCAUUUGACCUAUUCCCCAUAGGCAAUCAAAGACACUUUGGUAACGUAGGCUACAGCGAAUGCUCUAGUUUUGGUUGAUAAAGAGUGAUACCUGCAUAUGAGUUGAGAAGUCCCCUCUUUAAAAAUUGAAGUUUGAGUUGUUAUAUUUGUUUUGAUUUUUGGAAAAAUAAUAAGCUAUGCACGGUAAUACACUUUGGUGUAAUGCUCAAUGGGUUUUAAUUUUCUGCAGGAUCUACAACUUCAUAGUUCUAAUGCAGUCUGUGCAAAAUUUACUUGAUUACAAUAGGAGACUUAAUUCUACCUAUACAACUUUUAUUACCAUUAUUUUUUGUUGUUAGUGGUGUUUCUGGUAAUGUUUUUCUUGCAAUAUAUCCAAACUUUAACAUUAAUGACAUGGCAUCUGUCGCUAUGUGUUGCCCACCUGAGAUUGAGCCACAGUGUCUCGUAGAUAUGUUUUACUACUCUGGCUAAUGAUUAGAGUCGAUUUAUGAUAUUUUUUAGUAAUUUAUUAUUAUUUUUUUGUCUCCCCUAAAUAUAAUUGAAAGAAACAAAAAUUAAUUUGUAGGUUUCAUGACCACCUCAAUUUGACUGGGAAUUAAACUGAGGACCUCGCAUAGCCAAAGGGAUAAUCAAGGCUUAUUUUUGUGAUUUGACAUUAUUGAAAGUAUUAACUUACUGAGGAUUAAGUUCACUUUGAGAUCCGAAAGUGAUAUGAUGUAACCGAACCAGAUAAGUGGAGUCAUUUUUCUUAUUGAAGAUGCAGGUACUCCCUGGCUGGCAUACGUUGUUUUGAAUCUUUUGAUCUGCUACUUGUAAAUUUCCUAUUAUUCAACUGAGCACAGCAAAUUUCGCAGGUCAGUGCCAGUACCAUUUACUAAUCAUGCUUCAGUUUCAGGAUUAGUUAUUUGGUGCAAAAAUUAAUUUCCACAGUGAGCAGUCAGUAUCUCUGUUAUUUUGGUGGUUAUAUAUUAUUAAAAUAUACAUUUUAAAUAUUCUGCUUCCACAAAAAUUAAUAUUUCUACAGUGAGCAGUCAGUAUCUCUGUUAUUUUGGUGGUUAUUUAUUACUAAAAUAUACAUUUUAAAUAUUCUGCUUCUGACCACACCUUGAAGUAAUAAUCUCUCAUUUUCUAUAAUCUGAAUCCAUGUAUUGUAGAAUCUUUCCAGAAGGACAUUGUAUUUGUGUCCAGAAAAUGCCCUUGUGCAGAGGUUCUCGUUCUCAUAUCUGAUGGCUUUACAACCAGAAACAGCAUUAGAUAGAGCUUUGAAAAUGAAUUAGGCAGCUAAAUAACUAUCUUCUGAUUCAGUUACAUUAUUGAGUCAGGUCACUGAAUCAACAAUAUUUAGUCCUUUCAGUGUGCAGUACAGUUUCCUCAUAAUGUUACAUAAUUGAGGUAAUUGAACAACUAUGUCUUAAUAGUUAACAAGGUUGCAUUAUUAAAUCUAGCUUUAGCAUUUGGAAUACCUGUGCUGGAUACUCUGUUUAUAAGUCUUGUUUCUUUUAUUUACAAUCAGACCUGUCCAGGUUGACAAGGGAAUAAAAAGGUGCUCUACGGC